rnacentral:rRNA from 1 species
CCUACGGGCGGCAGCAGUGAGGAAUAUUGGUCAAUGGACGAGAGUCUGAACCAGCCAAGUAGCGUGAAGGAUGACUGCCCUAUGGGUUGUAAACUUCUUUUAUAUGGGAAUAAAAUGUUCCCCGUGUGGGAUUUUGUAUGUACCAUCUGAAUAAGGAUCGGCUAACUCCGUGCCAGCAGCCGCGUUAAUACGGAGCAUCCGAGAGUUAUCCGGAUUUAUUGGGUUUAAAUGAGGCGUAGGUGGAUUGUUAAGUCAGUUGUGAAAGUUUGCGGCUCAACCGUAAAAUUGCAGUUGAAACUGGCAGUCUUGAGUACAGUAGAGGUGGGCGGAAUUCGUGGUGUAGCGGUGAAAUGCUUAGAUAUCACGAAGAACUCCGAGUGCGAAGGCAGUUCACUGGACUGCAACUGACACUGAGGCUCGAAAGUGUGGGUAUCAAACAGGAUUAGAUACCCUGGUAGUC